UACAGAGGGCUCAAGCGUUGUUCGGAAUCAUUGGGCGUAAAGGGUGCGUAGGCGGCGCGGUAAGUCGGGCGUGAAAUCUCGGAGCUUAACUCCGAAACUGCAUUCGAUACUGCCGUGCUUGAGGACUGGAGAGGAGACUGGAAUUUACGGUGUAGCGGUGAAAUGCGUAGAUAUCGUAAGGAAGACCAGUGGCGAAGGCGGGUCUCUGGACAGUUCCUGACGCUGAGGCACGAAGGUCAGGGGAGCAAACGGG
rnacentral:rRNA from 1 species